GAUGAACGCUAGCUACAGGCUUAACACAUGCAAGUCGAGGGGCAGCAUGACGAUAGCUUGCUAUUGUUGAUGGCGACCGGCGCACGGGUGAGUAACGCGUAUCCAACCCGCCCUUGUCCACCGGAUAACCCGUCGAAAGGCGGACUAACACGGUAUGCAGUCCACAGCAGACAUCUAACGUGGACGAACUGUGAAGGAGAAGGAUGGGGAUGCGUCUGAUUAGCUUGUUGGCGGGGUAACGGCCCACCAAGGCGACGAUCAGUAGGGGUUCUGAGAGGAAGGUCCCCCACAUUGGAACUGAGACACGGUCCAAACUCCUACGGGAGGCAGCAGUGAGGAAUAUUGGUCAAUGGGCGAGAGCCUGAACCGGCCAAGUAGCGUGCAGGAAGACAGCCCUAUGGGUUGUAAACUGCUUUUAUACGGGGAUAAAGUGAGUCACGUGUGGCUUAUUGCAGGUACCGUAUGAAUAAGGACCGGCUAAUUCCGUGCCAGCAGCCGCCGUAA
rnacentral:rRNA from 1 species